ensembl:snRNA U6 U6 spliceosomal RNA
GUGCUUGCUUGGGCAGCACAGAAACUAAAAUUGGAGCGAUACAGAGAUGAUUAGCAUGCCCCCUGUGCAAGGACAACAUGUAAAUCUGUGAAGCGUUCAAUAUGGAA